GUGCACAUAAGUAAGAAGUUAGAUACCACGUAGUGUUUCCCUUAGAAAAAUCACAAGGAUGAGUGAGACUGCUUCAUGUAGGUGCAUACCGAAGAACUAGAAUUUCGCAAGACUUGAGCAAUAGGGCGCUCAUCAUUAUCAGAGGAUUUCUCAGGAGCAACCUGCAAAAGGGGAAAUGACAGUUAAGAAUAAAAACCGAGGCAAAAGAAAACGGAAAUUCAGCCAGAGUCGAACUUGAGCCUCUUG
rnacentral:lncRNA from 1 species